CCACUCGCCUCCCUCAAAGUCCGGAGCGAAUGCCAUGACACCACCAGCAGAAUAUACAGUACAAGAAAAUGUGAAGGGUUUCGUAUUGCUACAUUGACCUGGCCAGCUGUACUCCUUUCAAAGCGAGUAGAUUGGGUGAAGCAAGCAAUUAAGAAGGCAAACAUCCAAAAAGGACCGGUAUCAAAGAUGCUUUCUGCAAUUGUUUUGGGCCUUGGAAACCGCACUUGGAACAUGGGCUAUAGUUUUGGAUUCCCUAAUUAAGGCCGAGUUGCUCAGACCAGCAAGGAUGGAAAGCAUGCAAGGCACCAGCCGGGAUCAAACCAGGGACCACACACCUCAAAGUCCAGUGCUGACUCCUCUACACUACCAUUAUGCAUUGAUGUAAAGUGACAUAAAGCUCAUCUUUAUUUUUCCUCUCAAUAGAGUAUUAUUUUUAUUUAAUCAGAGGUACAGCGUGGAAUAGGCCCUCCCUGUUCUUUGAGCCAUGCUGCUCUAGCAACCUCUGACUUAACCUUAGCCUAAUCACAGGACAAAUGUGUUGACCAAUUAACCCACUAACCCGUACACCUUUGGACUGUGGGAGGAAACUGGAGCACCGAGUGAAAACCAACUGGGAGCCUGUAUAAUCUCCUUACAGAGGGUGUCAGGACUGAUCUCCUACGUCCCGAGUGACUCGCUAACUGCUACGCUGCCCCCUGCUACCUGAAAGUAUUGACUGGAUUGAGUAUUUAACACAGAUAAGUAUUUAAAUCACCUCUGUCUAAUUUCUUCCCCUUCUUCAGCAAUUCCAAUUCCAUGCCUCCAGACUCCACUUACAUUCUUCUUUAACCUUUUCUAAACGCAGAAGCAUUCAGCAAUGUUGUAAAGUUGGAUAGCAAAACCAAUGACCGUGAACAGAAAAUCCUACAAUAGGUAACGGAUACAGCCAGGUACAUCAUAGGUAAAGCCUCCCCACCACUGAGAGCAUCCACAACAAGCUCUGCCACAAAAAAGUAGCAUCCAUCAACAAAGACCCCUACCAUCCAGGCCUUG